CACGUAGGGCGCAAGCGUUUGUCCGGAAUUAUUGGGCGUAAAGAGCUCGUAGGUGGCCCGCCACGUCUGCUGUGAAAAUCCAGGGCUUAACCCUGGACUUGCAGUGGAUACGGGCGGGCUAGGAGGUAGGUAGGGGAGAAUGGAAUUCCCGGUGUAGCGGUGAAAUUCGUAGAUAUUGGGAAGAACACCGGUGGCGAAGGCGGCUCACUGGCCCGUUUCUGACGCUCAGGCGCGACAGCGUGGGGAUCAAACAGG
rnacentral:rRNA from 1 species